GCUAGUAAUCGCGGAUCAGAAUGCCGCGGUGAAUACGUUCCCGGGUCUUGUACACACCGCCCGUCACACCAUGGGAGUCGGAAAUGCCCGAAGUCUGUGACCCAACCGCGAGGAGGGAGCAGCCGAAGGCAGGUCGGAUGACUGGGGUGAAGUCGUAACAAGGUACC
rnacentral:rRNA from 1 species